rnacentral:rRNA from 1 species
UCUAGAGGCUUCGGCAAUGGGGGAAACCCUGACCGAGCGACGCCGCGUGCGGGAAGAUAGGCCUUCGGGUCGUAAACCGCUGUCAGGAGGGAAGAAUGCCCGAAUGGUGAAUUCGGGAGAGACGGUACCUCCAGAGGAAGCCCCGGCUAACUCCGUGCCAGCAGCCGCGGUAAUACGGAGGGGGCAAGCGUUGUUCGGAUUUACUGGGCGUAAAGGGUGUGUAGGCGGCCAUGCAAGUCUGAUGUGAAAUCUUCACCGCUUAACGGGAAGAGGUCAUUGGAAACUGCGUGGCUUGAGUAUGGUAGAGGCGAGCGGAAUUCCUGGUGUAGCGGUGGAAUGUGUAGAUAUCAGGAAGAACACCCGUGGCGAAGGCGGCUUGCUGGGCCAUUACUGACGCUGAGACACGAAAGCGUGGGGAGCGAACGGGAUUAGAUACCCCCGUAGUCC